GGUAGCCGGCCUGAGAGGGCGACCGGCCACACUGGGACUGAGACACGGCCCAGACUCCUACGGGAGGCAGCAGUGGGGAAUAUUGCACAAUGGGCGGAAGCCUGAUGCAGCGACGCCGCGUGAGGGAUGACGGCCUUCGGGUUGUAAACCUCUUUCAGCAGGGACGAAGCGAGAGUGACGGUACCUGCAGAAGAAGCACCGGCCAACUACGUGCCAGCAGCCGCGGUAAGACGUAGGGUGCGAGCGUUGUCCGGAUUUAUUGGGCGUAAAGAGCUCGUAGGCGGCUUGUCGCGUCGACCGUGAAAACUUGGGGCUCAACCCCAAGCCUGCGGUCGAUACGGGCAGGCUAGAGUUCGGUAGGGGAGACUGGAAUUCCUGGUGUAGCGGUGAAAUGCGCAGAUAUCAGGAGGAACACCGGUGGCGAAGGCGGGUCUCUGGGCCGAUACUGACGCUGAGGAGCGAAAGCGUGGGGAGCGAACAGGAUUAGAUACCCUGGUAGUCCACGCUGUAAACGUUGGGCGCUAGGUGUGGGGGGCCUCUCCGGUUCCCUGUGCCGCAGCUAACGCAUUAAGCGCCCCGCCU
rnacentral:rRNA from 1 species